ACAUACACAAUAAGUGUAUGUCUGUGCGUGUAUAUCUGUAGUUGUGAGUGUGUGUGUGUGUGCGUGUAUAGAUAUAGAUACACAUAGUCAGACACACACAUGCAAUCACAGGCCUACACACACAAUCACAUACAUAAACACACACAAUCACAACACACACAAUUAACCACAGAGAUACACACAAUCACACACAUAAUCACAGACAUACACUAUCACAGAUCCACACACAUACAUUCACAGACACACAUAAUUAGAUAUGCACACACAAACAUCACAUACAUACACACACACAUUUAAUAAUUAAGAGGUCCACCCAGCCUCCCUACCUUGCUCUGGUAGGGCUAGAGUGGAUCCUCAGCACUUGGUGGUCAGUGGUUGCUGCUGGGAUUGCUGUGCCGGCUCACUGCAGGGCGAAGACAGUCAGACACAGUCAGAUGCGCAUUUAUACACAUAUACUGUCAAAUACAGCUACAUGCACACAGUCAAACACACAGUUACAGGCAAACAGUCACACACAAACAGUUGCAGGAAGUCACACACACACACACACACAGUCACACGCACAAUUACAGGCAGACUGUAACACAGUUUCGGGCAGUAUCACACAGUCAUAGGCAGACAUUCACACACACUAUGUGACAUGCAAAUGUCACAUACACAGUUACAGGCAGACAGUCACACAAAGUCAAAGGAAGACAGUCACACACAGUCAGAGAUUCACAGACACAGGCAGACCGUCACAAACAGUCACAGACGCAAUCACAGGCAGACAGUCACACACAAUCCCAGGUAGACAGUCACACACAGGCAGUCACAUACAAUCACAGUUACACAGCACACACUCUCUCGCACUAACUGACAGUAUGGGCUGUAGAGGAGUGGAGACACUGCAAUCCCUGGUGUGUAGUAGUUGAGGAAGCAGGGACUCCUUCCUGCUUCCCCUCAAUGGGCAGCAGUAAGAGGCCGUCAUUAGCUCUGCCCCGCAUCUGAUUUGGUUCUGCCCCAUGGCCGAUCUGACUCUGCCCCCAACUUGCAGUGAAGUUCUCCUGCUGUAUUCCCGGCCCCUGUGUGUGUGAACUGUGCUGGCUGCCCCUGCUGCCAUGGUGUCCUGUGCAACCACACAGCUCACACAACCCUAAGCCUGACCAGCCGUGGCGGCACCCCCAUACCUGGUGGCACCCGGAGCAGACCGCCC